GGAUAUCCUCCGCACUUUCAACAAGAAUUUCCACCUCCAACUAUGGCCUUCACAUCAGACAUCCGAGCUGCCUCUGACCCUCUAGGUUUACCAGGCUGUUGCUGUCCAGGUGAUGAAAACUGAUUGUGAUGUCUCAGUACAGUGACACACAGCAAAGUACACCGAGAAUAAAGACAGCGAUGACAUCAGCUGCAGGACCUUCUAUGGAGGACUCGUCGUCUCCAGUGGUUCAGCCUGGAGCAGUCUCAUGAUGACAUCCUACACUUAGCCUAUAACCAAGUAAUGUAGACAUUGAUGGUCAUCUGGUGUGCCCUGAAGCCACGCAGACUUACUUGCAUUCCCGGUGUCCCUGCAGGUUUUAGAUCUCACCUUGGGUCAACACACCUGAAUCACAUGAUUAGUUCGUUACCAGGCCUCUGGAGAACUUCAGGACAUGUUGAGGAGCUAAUUUAGCC